rnacentral:lncRNA from 1 species
CGGGGAAACACAUCAACUAUAAGAGGAAACAACAGAAACACUAAGGUGCAAAACAAAACAAAAAGUGACAAUGCAGCAUACAUAGACACGAACUAUUAGAUACACUCUCAUUUUUUGGUGGGGCACGUGUUGAUUAGACUUUAUUGUUUCUAUGUUGAAUAUGUGUACUAUUGUUUGUCUGUUUGUCCUAUUUUUUGUUAGCCCUGUUGUUUAUUUUCGACCAUAUUUCUGACUACGUUCAGGACAUUUAAAAAAAAUGGUGGGCUGAACAUUGUGUUGCGGCUAGUCAAACCUCUUGCUUAAUGGCAAUUAUAUACCGCUAAAAUGACAACAUUAC